CCUGCUGAACAUCACGCGCUCUGAGAACUUACGCUUUCUGAUUCUACACGGGACAGCAGAUGCGAACGUUCAUUUUCAACACACUGCAGAACUAGUGAAGCUGCUGUCUGUGAUUAACAUCAACUACAGGUUACAGAUCUUCCCCGAUGAGGGUCAUGAUGUCAUCAGCAGGCGCUACAUACUGCACUCACUCGUCUCCUUCUACAAAGACUGUUUUAUUGAAAAUCUACCUGUUCCAGUGGAAACCAGUGACGACGACUAGGAAAUCGACUUGUGACCCGUCUGCUGUCAUUUGUGCCGAUCCGACCUGAACAAAGAGACAGAGCAUUGAGUCUGAGGACACGCUUCAAAUACUUUGAUUUCUUAUUUAUGCUUUUCAUCAUUUGUUCACACAAGCAUUAGUCUGUAUUUAACAGCAGCGUGACUGAUGUAGUGUCACUCUAAACAAGUUGAAAGAAAUCACUGUCAUUAAAAACAUCAAGUAUUAUGGACAAUAUGGUUAUUAAUUAUA